AGCGAACGCUGGCGGCAGGCCUAACACAUGCAAGUCGAACGAUCCUUCGGGAUAGUGGCGGACGGGUGAGUAACACGUGGGAACGUACCUUUAGGUUCGGGAUAACUCAGGGAAACUUGAGCUAAUACCGGAUGUGCCCUUCGGGGGAAAGAUUUAUCGCCUUUAGAGCGGCCCGCGUUAGAUUAGCUAGUUGGUGAGGUAAAGGCUCACCAAGGCUCCGAUCUAUAGCUGGUCUGAGAGGAUGAUCAGCCACACUGGGACUGAGACGCGGCCCAGACUCCUACGGGAGGCAGCAGUGGGGAAUCUUGCGCAAUGGGCGAAAGCCUGACGCAGCCAUGCCGCGUGAAUGAUGAAGGUCUUAGGAUUGUAAAAUUCUUUUAGCAGGGACGAUAAUGACGGUACCUGCAGAAAAAGCCCCGGCUAACUUCGUGCCAGCCGCCGCAGUAA
rnacentral:rRNA from 1 species